AUACUGGAAGAAAACACAGUAUAAACUACCUUAUCCAUCCUUUAUUCACCUCACUGUGACCACCUGAUGGAUCUCAGGGCCUUUGGAAAGGGCUACCGGGAAGUUUACAGACUGACUGGCACAAUAAAUCACUCUGACUGUCUGAAAUCAGAAGGAUAAUCGAGAGACCAGUGGUAAAACUACCGGAGCUGAUUGGCGGCAGGCAACACACGCUCUCCCUGUAAUGUUGCCGCCGCGAGCGCUCUGUUCCAGUUAUCUGCCCUUGCUCUAGACCACACAGCUGCUGUACUUACCGAAGCAUCACCAAUCCCCAAGUGCUGACUGCGCAGGGGAGGAGAGGCCAGAGAGAGAGAGAGAUAAGAGCAUCCAUCCAUCCUCUCGUCCCUUUAUCAACGGUAACACCCCAUUCCCUCGGUCCUCCUGACACUCCCUUCUCACAUCGCUUAAGGCUCUGCAAGGCUCGAGGAAGGCAGCUAGCGUUUUCGGUGUGUGUAGCAGCUACCAGGAGGCGCAAGGCAGAAUGCGCGAUGGGGCAAGCGUGUGGACACGCGCUCCUCUGCCGUAGCCAGCAGCACCAGUCCGCUGCUUCCGAUAUACGCGGUCAACAAGUAUUCCUGAGGCCAGACGAGACCGCAGCUCUAACCCUGACUGACCGACUACAGUUCCCUAGGCGACAGAAGAGAGUUUUGCGGAGCAAUAGAAGCAUUCUGUCUCCUCCAACAUUUCUAUGACAACCGCAUGCUGACACACAGACACCGAAGGAUCCAACAGGUGGACCGCGUGCAGGGGAGGAUGGCUAGAAACCCUAUACUCUAUAUAUUAUACUCUAUACUCUAUACUCUAUAUAUUAUACUCUAUAUACUAUAUGCUAUAUACUAUAUGCUAUAUUCCAUACCCUAUACUCUAUAUAUUAUACUCUUUAUACUGUACUCUAUAUAUUAAACUCUAUAUACUAUAUGAUAUAUACUA
rnacentral:lncRNA from 1 species